UCCCCCUAGCGCGGCCGACACUGCAGGUCUGCAUGGAGCCGCAAUUGCGGGUCUCUGUUCCGCAGGAUGGGGUUCGUGAAAGUUGUCAAGAAUAAGGCCUACUUUAAAAGAUACCAAGUGAGAUUUAGAAGGCGUCGAGAGGGCAAAACUGACUACUAUGCACGAAAACGAUUGGUGAUCCAGGACAAGAACAAGUACAACACACCCAAAUACAGGAUGAUAGUUCAUGUAACUAACAGAGAUAUCAUCUGCCAGAUUGCAUAUGCCCGUAUAGAAGGGGAUAUGAUCGUCUGUGCAGCAUAUGCACAUGAACUUCCAAAAUACGGUGUGAAAGUUGGCCUGACAGAUUAUGCUGCAGCCUAUUGCACUGGCCUGCUGCUGGCCCGCAGGCUUCUGAAUAGCUUUGGCAUGGACAAGAUCUAUGAAGGCCAAGUGGAGGUAAAUGGAGGUGAAUACAAUGUGGAAAGCAUUGACGGUCAGCCUGGUGCCUUCACUUGCUAUUUGGAUGCAGGUCUUGCCCGAACUACAACUGGCAAUAAAGUUUUUGGGGCCCUGAAGGGAGUUGUGGAUGGAGGCUUGUCUAUCCCUCAUAGUACCAAACGAUUCCCUGGUUAUGACUCCGAAAGUGAGGAGUUCAAUGCAGAGGUGCAUCGGAAGCACAUCAUGGGUCAGAAUGUGGCGGACUACAUGCGGUAA